rnacentral:rRNA from 1 species
UACGGGGGGGGCAAGCGUUGUUCGGAAUUACUGGGCGUAAAGGGCUCGUAGGUGGCCAACUAAGUCGGACGUGAAAUCCCUCGGCUUAACCGGGGAACUGCGUCCGAUACUGGUUGGCUUGAGUUUGGGAGAGGGAUGCGGAAUUCCAGGUGUAGCGGUGAAAUGCGUAGAUAUCGGGAAGAACAUCGGUGGCGAAGGCGCUCUACUGGACCACAACUGACACUCAGGGACGAAAGCUAGGGGAGCGAAUGGG